GGGGAAUCUUGCGCAAUGCGCGAAAGCGUGACGCAGCAACGCCGCGUGCGGGAGAACGGCCUUCGGGUUGUAAACCGCUUUCAGUUGGGACGAAGCUCUUCCGGUGAAUAGCCGGUUGGAGUGACGGUACCUUCACAAGAAGCCCCGGCUAACUACGUGCCAGCAGCCGCGGUAAUACGUAGGGGGCAAGCGUUGUCCGGAAUCAUUGGGCGUAAAGAGCGUGUAGGCGGCCCGGUAAGUCCGCUGUGAAAGUCCAGGGCUCAACCCUGGGAUGCCGGUGGAUACUGUCGGGCUCGAGUCCGGAAGAGGAGUGUGGAAUUCCUGGUGUAGCGGUGAAAUGCGCAGAUAUCAGGAGGAACACCAAUGGCGAAGGCAGCACUCUGGGACGUGACUGACGCUGAGACGCGAAAGCGUGGGGAGCAAACA
rnacentral:rRNA from 1 species